GGGGCUAUAGCUCAGCUGGGAGAGCGCCUGCCUUGCACGCAGGAGGUUCGCGUCGAUUCCGCCGCUUAGGUUUCCACCA
rnacentral:tRNA from 1 species